rnacentral:rRNA from 1 species
CCCUUAGAUGUUCGGGGCCGCACGCGCGCUACACUGAAGGAAUCAGCACGUCUUUCUCCUUGUCCGAAAGGACUGGGUAACCCGCUGAACCUCCUUCGUGCUAGGGAUUGGGGCUUGUAAUUCUUCCCCAUGAACGAGGAAUUCCCAGUAAGCGCGAGUCAUAAGCUCGCGUCGAUUACGUCCCUGCCCUUUGUACACACCGCCCGUCGCUACUACCGAUUGGAUGGUUUAGUGAGAUCCUCGGAUUGGUCCCGGCGCGGCCUCUGGUCGUGCCGGAGUGCCGAAAAGAAUGUCGAACUUGAUCAUCUAGAGGAAGUAAAAGUCGUAACA